UACGAAGGGGGCUAGCGUUGUUCGGAAUAACUGGGCGUAAAGCGCACGUAGGCUGAUUUGUAAGUCAGGGGUGAAAUCCCGGGGCUCAACCUCGGAACUGCCUUUGAUACUGCAAGUCUGGAGUCCGGAAGAGGUGAGUGGAAUUCCUAGUGUAGAGGUUAAAUUCGUAGAUAUUAGGAAGAACACCAGUGGCGAACGCGGCUCCCUUGUCCGGUACUGACGCUGAGGUGCGAAAGCGUGGGGAGCAAUCAGG
rnacentral:rRNA from 1 species